rnacentral:rRNA from 1 species
GCCAGACUCCUACGGGAGGCAGCAGUGGGGGAUAUUGCACAAUGGGGGGAACCCUGAUGCAGCGACGCCGCGUGGGUGAAGAAGUAUUUCGGUAUGUAAAGCCCUAUCGGCAGGGAAGAAAUUGGACGGUACCUGACUAAGAAGCCCUGGCUAACUACGUGCCAGCAGCCGCGGUAAUACGUAGGGGGCAAGCGUUAUCCGGAUUCACUGAGUGUAAAGGGAGCGUAGACGGCCAUGCAAGCCUGGAGUGAAAGCCCGGGGCCCAACCCCGGGACUGCUCUGGGAACUGUGCGGCUGGAGUGCGGGAGGGGCAGGCGGAAUUCCUGGUGUAGCGGUGAAAUGCGUAGAUAUCAGGAGGAACACCGGCGGCGAAGGCGGCCUGCUGGACCGCGACUGACGUUGAGGCUCGAAAGCGUGGGGAGCAAACAGGAUUAGAUACCCUCGUACA